ACGGGAGGCAGCAGUGGGGAAUAUUGGGCAAUGGGCGGAGGCCUGACCCAGCGACGCCGCGUGAGGGAAGAAGGUCUUCGGAUUGUAAACCUUAGUCAACAGGGAAGAAGCAAGUGACGGUACCUGUGGAGGAAGCCACGGCUAACUACGUGCCAGCAGCCGCGGUAAUACGUAGGUGGCGAGCGUUAUCCGGAUUUACUGGGCGUAAAGGGUGUGUAGGCGGGUCUGCAAGUCAGAUGUGAAAACUAUCGGCUCAACUGAUAGCUUGCAUUUGAAACUGUGGGUCUUGAGUGAAGUAGAGGUAAGCGGAAUUCCUAGUGUAGCGGUGAAAUGCGUAGAUAUUAGGAGGAACAUCAGUGGCGAAGGUGGCUUACUGGGCUUUAACUGACGCUGAGGCUCGAAAGCGUGGGGAGCAAACAGGAUUAGAUACCCUGGUA
rnacentral:rRNA from 1 species